rnacentral:rRNA from 1 species
UCCGUAGGGUGAACCUGCGGAAGGAUCAUUAUUGAAUAAACUUGGUCGGGUUGCUGCUGGCUCUUAGGAGCAUUGUGCACGCCUGCCACCAUUUUUACAACCACCUGUGCACCGUUUUGUAGACUUUGGAUACCUCUCGAUUACAAGGAAUCUUUUUUCCUUGCUUCGGAUUUGAGGGUUGCUUAUUAGCUUAAGCUUCCCUUUGCAUUUCCGGUCUAUGUCUUACAUUUACACCCCAUAAGCAUGUUACAGAAUGUCAUUAGUGGGCCUUUGUUUGCCUAUAAAACCUAAUACAACUUUCAACAACGGAUCUCUUGGCUCUCGCAUCGAUGAAGAACGCAGCGAAAUGCGAUAAGUAAUGUGAAUUGCAGAAUUCAGUGAAUCAUCGAAUCUUUGAACGCACCUUGCGCUCCUUGGUAUUCCGAGGAGCAUGCCUGUUUGAGUGUCAUUAAAUUCUCAACCUUUCCAGCUUUUACUAGCUUGGUCUGGCUUGGAUGUGGGGGUUUGCGGGCUCUCUUUCCAAAGAGUGGUCGGCUCUCCUUAAAUGCAUUAGCGGAGCCCUUGUGGCCUCAAAGCUAACUCAGGUGUGAUAGACUAUCUAUGCCUUUAUUAGCUCUUGGGGACGCAGCUUUACAUGGGGCUCAGCUUCUAACCGUCCAUUGACUUGGACAAACUUACAAAAAUGACCUUUUGACCUCAAAUCAGGUAGGACUACCCGCUGAACUUAAGCAUAUCAAUAAGCGGAGGA